UACGUAGGGGGCAAGCGUUGUCCGGAUUUAUUGGGCGUAAAGAGCGUGUAGGCGGCUAGGUAGGUCUGUUGUGAAAACUCGAGGCUCAACCUCGAGACGUCGAUGGAAACCAUCUAGCUAGAGUCCGGAAGAGGAGAGUGGAAUUCCUGGUGUAGCGGUGAAAUGCGCAGAUAUCAGGAAGAACACCCGUGGCGAAGGCGGCUCUCUGGCCCGAUACUGACGCUGAGGCACGAAAGCGUGGGAGCAAACAGG
rnacentral:rRNA from 1 species